rnacentral:lncRNA from 1 species
ACAUGAUUUUAAGUGCUAAAAUGUCUCAUUCAUAUUUAGAAAAAUGAUUAUUUAGACAAAGCUUGGUUAUACUUGAAGGAGUAAACAAAAUUUAGAAUCGAAACUCCCCAAACUUUAAGUGAAAUCUGACUUUCGUAAUAAUGAGGUUACGUAUGAAAUUUUAAAGAUGCAGAAACAUUGGUUUAAAUGUGAACGACACUUAGCGACAGAGAACAACGUAAAUCAGGCUAAACGUCGUAUGAAAUCAUGUUGCAGAACUUGAAAGCAGUAAUAUGAACAUGCCUUAUGCUUUUCCAAGUUGAUUCUAACUCAAGUUUAUAUUAACGAUAUGAGCAGCAGAAAUACAACAGAAUCACGACCGGCAUUCAAGUUAUGAUUCAAACCAACAGUGAUGAAAAUAUAGCUACACAGUUAGAACACUCAAAAUGGAGACUAAAUGAACAUCGACCAUUGCAAGCAAAGCAUAAAUUCAGCUAGUUAUAUGGAUACAAAAUCAAGUUGAUGAACAUAAUGAUCAACACAUAACAUUCAAACAACUCCACUGAUGCUUGACUUAUGCUUACUGCCCAGGGACAUAUAAAACGACAUUAAGGUAAGGGUUAAAACAGGGGAAUCAUAUACGCGUAACGAUAGAUUCUAUAUCAAGUGUUCAACACAUAACACGCUGCAUCGAAAUAAAAGAAUGUAGGAGGACGUGAAAUUACCUUUCUUGGAGCAGCAAACUAAA